GUGGUUUUAGUUUAUGUGGUAAAAUAUCUCACUGUGAAUGAGAAGAACAGGGUUCGAAUCCCGAGAUCACCCCA
rnacentral:tRNA from 1 species